rnacentral:lncRNA from 1 species
CUCCAGGCCAGAGUGGCCUCCAACCUAACUAUGUAGCUCAGGAUAUCCUUGAACUCCUGCCUUCACCUCCUAAGCCUACUUGGGAUGUGGACCAACACAUCCAUUCCUGUGGUAUUAAGGAUUGAAUCCAGCCAGGGCUUCGUGUAUGCUAGGCUACCUACUGAGCUACACACGUGGUCCUUUAAUAGUAUUUCUGAAUGCUAUUAAAUAAUUUCAUCUAAACCUAAUAACAUUUUCCAUUACCCAGGCAUGCUGUUCAGAGCACCUUGGUUUAGCUCCAAACAGCUGAAUACAGCAAAUCUCACCUCAGGAUCAUAGUUUGGGUAAAGAGGAAAAAAGAGACAAAUUUGAAUGUUGCCACUUCCUAGCUACAACUGAAUAUCUUUCUCACUGUAGAUGUCACAGUUCUCCUCUCUUGUCUUUUUCAAACGUAUAGCUGACUUUGGAAGGAAAAAAGAAAAAAGAAAGAAACAUGUAGUAAGAAGAAUAAGUACAAGACUAAUGAGAUGCUUGAGAAAUGGGUUUUCCAGGCAAAAGAAGCAAUUAUGCGUGACCUUGCCUGUUGUUCAGAUCAUAAUUAAUAAUUGCUGUUGGUUCUUAAGCAGCAAUUGCCACAGUGUCACUUCCAGCCCCAUCCAGGCCAGAGCUCCCCAGCAUGGUGGCUCCAUGUCCCUGUAAGCAGUCAGCCAGCACAGCCCUCUGUGGUGGGAAUGGAGCUGCUUUACCCUGGGAACCCUAACCGGGAUGCUAAAUCAUUUGCAGACCAUUAAAUGAUCUGCACCCCAGGGGAGCACUGAGUCCCGCAGCCACUUUCUCAUGCAUUCCACACCCCAGUCUCCCAGGCAUUCCACUCUGCUCUGGUCCAUCCUGGACCCCGUCAGCCUCUUGGGUACCCUGGGACUCAGCCUUGCUGAACUCAGACCUGACACCUUACCAGCUUCUCUUUUAACUCCGCACCCCAUUCUGGACGCCUCUUGGUGGAUUCCUCACUCCGUACCUCACCUCUGUCUCCUAAUCGCUCUCUCAAGUGUGUGUACCUCUAAGUGUGGUUUGGGAGCUCUCCAUAGCACAAUGACAUGGGCGGAUAUUUAGUGGAGCCCAAAUAUCCACAUGGGUGGAUAUUCGCUGGCAUUGAAGCGCUGCUCCUCAGCAAAUAUACUUAACAGUCACCACCCACCUCCUCCCCUCCAGACACAGCCAGUGUAUUUUCUCCUGGGGCUUCUCCGCCGUCUUCUCCGCUUACUACUACUUCCAAAAGCACAAGAGGAAAACCCUGCUAGUCUCGGGUCCUCCUUUAAAAGCCUUCUUUUCUACCUUCUUUUCCUGAUGUUCCUUCCACCAUCACCCCCACCCAGAGUGGUUCAGAUUCUGUCAUUUCCACCCUGCUUACUCCUCCGAACCAUCUAGAUCCUCAGACGCAAUGGCCAUCCGUACAAGCACAGGCUUGUCCCUUGCUCUCGGGGAUAAAGACCCUGCGUUCUGCAAACAUGUUUCGUACCAACUGAGUCAAUGCCCACCCCUCCUACUACAUACCACCCAUGACCCCUGCUUCAUGGUAUCAGGCCUUUAUCUCUCACGUCGGUCCCCGAAAGGAGGAACAAUGAAUUUGUGUUUGGAUGAGCACAUGGGACCCCAAGUUUGUCACUGUGCCGAUCUGACGUUAAUCCCCCGAGUGGCCCCUUCUGUACUCACACCUGAGUCACAGGUAUCCUAGAGGAGUUCUGAUGACAGCUAGAGUCAUGCUCUUCUGAGCUCAGAGGCAAUCAUAAGGAAUGGGCAGAUGCCUGGCCUCUGCUGACUCCCCCAGUAGGUGUCAUUUAGAAGUCAUGAAAUGAGAAGAGCCAUCCAGCUGAGCCUCCUUGAUGCCCUGCAGGGUCCCUUAGGAGAAGGCACUAUACAUUUGAGGUCUGGCUAUUACCAAGUGUAGAUAGAUAGGUAGAUAGGUAGGUAGAUAGAUAGAUAGAUAGAUAGAUAGAUAGAUAGAUAGAUAGAUAGAUAGACUUUUAUAUAUAAUAUAUAUGAAUGUAUAUCUUAAAGGUCAGCAUAAACAUAAGUUAUGAAUACUAAUGUUAGGAUAGUUGCCACUUUUCCUCUGUCCAGGACAGCAGCCAUAAGGUGUGUGCGGGAGAUGGCGUCACAGGGAAGAACCCUGUGCACUUUGGAACGUGAGAAGAUCAUGAGUGAGUUCCACUCUGUUUCUGGAAUUAUGAUCUCCACCUACCCCAAGAUUUAUACUUUUCCCUUAUGAGAGAGCAUCUUUAUUAUUUUCCAUGGCAAUACCAUGACAGAAGAGGAGCAGGGAAACAGAAGAAGGGGGUCACGAAAGGAGGAGGGAGGAGGAGGAGCUUAAGGGGGAGAAGAUGGACGGAGGCUGGUGAUGGGCAGUUAGAUCUGAAGCUGAGUCUCUCACUUACCAGGGGUGUGGUCACCCAGGGGAGCCUCUCGGGUGCUGUCUCUGACCCCUAAAGCCAGUGGAAAUCCUCUACCCUAGCUCCCACUGCUUAAGCAAAAAGCAGAUGUGCUUCUUCACAUCUGGAAGAGUGGUUCUGACUCCGCUUCAUCCUACUUGAUCUCUGCUGGCUUUUAUAUGUUCCGUAAAAUGAUUGAAGAAAAAGUUCUCAAUUAGAAAAAAAGAAAAGCAAUAAAGUCUUCCUCUUGGGGAGCAGCAGCAUCCAGCAGCUGCAGCAGCUUGUCGACGUCUUCCCUCGGUGGCUCCAAGACGAAGGAUGACCCACUGGGAUAACUGUAUCUAUCCGAGGGGAACCUCAGUGGCUCCCACCCUCUCCUUGGUCUAGCAGCCUUAGAGAUCAAGGGUUCGUUCGGUAUCUCUUUUCAGCCACACAUCUCAUCAAGACAGUGAGAGUGUCCACCUGCAAACAGUAGGACCGAACCUAGCACACAGUAGGGGCACAUGUUUACGAUCACCAGUCAUUUCUUACUGUAUAAUGAUGAAAAUGGGGACAGCUCCAAAGAGACUUGAUUGGCAUUUAAUUCUCAAAACGGUCCCACGAGGGAGGUGUUACCCAUUUCACAGAUGAAAACGUGAGACUUUUGCAAAAUGGCCUUCUCUGAGGUUUUGAUGAGAGGGCUGUGAUCUUUUUAUUGUCAGGUCCCCAGAAGACAGUUUCUCUCCGCGAGGCUCACCCGUCCGCUGCUUGUGUGACAAGUCUCCCCUAUUCUAUGGCAGCGUUAAUCCUCUCCCAGCCCCGGGGAUGUGUGAUGUGCCCAAUUUCACUCCCACCCCUUAGUAAGGCAAGAGUCUACCAGGACCAAUUGUCUUUCAAAUUGGCUCCGAAAAUUCGUGUUUCACUUGGCCACGAACCUCUUUAGAAGGCCUGGCCAGAGCAUUGCUGCUCCCGGGUGUCUGAAACUGGAGAGAAAGAAUGAACACUCCAGCACUCAUAAACAUUAACAAAAAAAACUGUGAGAAAACCAGCCCAAAGCUGACUCAGACGCCAUGUUGCCUCUGAGAUUAUGCCUCCUCCCUCAACAAGGGCCACUGUCCUUCAGAAACUGAGCGAGCGUCCAGAUCUUCACCAGGACCUCUCCAUCACCUCUCUAGGGCCAGAUUUGGCAACCUCAUGGCUUUGUCCAAUAAAUGCAGUAGAGAAUUUUGCAGAUCUCUGCUUUCCAAAAGGCCCGUCUUUCCAAACUUUCCAAAAGUUCAGCAUUACUUUUUAACUUCCAUUUCUUUCAACAAAGAACAGUUCUUGUUCUCCAGGGGGGGUCAGUAGCCUUUUGACCAUCUCAGCUACUCUAAUUCACAUCAUCAACCCAAAUGGACAGGAAUUUUUUUUUUUCUUUUUGCUUUUGCCCAGCCGACACCAGAAGGGAUCCUGUCAACUCUGACAGUGUUUAAUGGACUUUAAAUACGUUUGCAAUGACAUUUUCCAAAACUAUAAUUAACAAAGAGUAUUUUGCAUUUCCCAUAGGGCACUCAUAAUCUCACCAUAAAAUUUAUAGCCAAACUGUAUUCAGUUGAGACUCUCUUACUGAGCCAAAGUCAUUGUCUUAACUGAAUCCAACGACUGCUUAUGUCUCACGUGUGUCUUUCUUCUCCUUUAUUGCUGCCAGAGAUAGUUUACAUUCUGACCAUUGUUGUUAAAUAUGAAAUGCCCUUUGAGAGCUCAGGUUUUGAGCAUAUGCAACCACACUGGUAACCCUGUUCCUAGCUUGAAGGGGUAGAUGGCUACAGAACCUGUUGGGCAUGGGGCCUGGCUAGAAGUUGGUCACUGUAGGCAAGCCUAUGACUGAACCUGCCCUUGGUUCCCACCUUGUUCUUUAUGCUUCCUGACCAGCCACUAUGAGAAGAGUUUUGUCUCAUGCUCCCGUGACUAUGAGCUACAUCCUGCCUUUUUUACCACAAGGGACGGGACUCUCUCCGAAACCAUGAGCCAACAUAAAACUUGUCUCUGGUAAGAUGUGUCUGUCAGAUAGAUAUCAGGGUCUCAGGGACAUGAAAGCAGCCAAAGUAAGGGCUUUAGCUUCUGAUGUUUCUCCCCAGUCCUACAUGUGGAACCCAGGGAAAUCCAUGCACGCUAAGCAAUGGUUCUACUGCUCCACCAUGUUCUCAAUCCCCAGAUUUUAUCUUUUUAGUCAAAGAAGUCACAGGUGUGGGGACAAAUGAUUGCACUGCCAGCACUGCCAAAGCCGUAACUCAGAAGAGCUGUCUGAAGAUGGUGAGAUGAAGUCAUUUUAGGUCCUUUCUGUGGUGGUCCAAAAGCUUCUGAGAGACACGAUAGGGGAGGAGCGGCAGGAAGAUUCUUCCUGAGCUUGGUUGGGAGCCCAGCUUUCUGAUCCAAUGCCCUUUUUAUUUUAUUUUUUUUUUUGGUGGAGAGGUCAGUGGGGAAAGGGAUUCGAAAGAAGACUAAUUUGGAAUUGUCCUUUCCAAAUGGCAAGAAAAACAUCACAUUUCUCGCCUCAUCCUGAUGUUAUGUAGCAGGAGUAGAUCCUGGGAGACGAAGACACCACAUAAAAAUUCUGUCUGCUCUUCCCGUGCUCAUUUUUCCAGUUGGUUUUCACAGGAAUGCUGAAAAUGCUAACCACUCCUGGGAUUCCCUGAUGUCUACUUCGGUGCUCGUGGUGUCUGAGUCUUCACACAUCCUGAAGAGCUGGAAGCAAUGGAGACAGAGGUAGGAAGCCAAACUGGGAGGGAGAUACGAAAGAGCGGAGUCCACAAACGUGGCUAUAAGGAACUCUUCUGAGGGAUGGUCUUCUUCAUCUAUCAGAAGAGCUGGAGGUGAAGAAUCCAAGUUUCUCCAGAAACCACAGCUGGCCCUUCUUACCAUCUUCUUUUUGGUUGUUAAUCACCCCUCAUCCGUGAGUCAAUAUGAGAUGUCACUUCAAGGAGGGACAGGAUCAUAGAGGAGGCAUUUCUGGAACCUCUGCCACCAAGAAGGAAAUCAGCACUCAUCUCUGGAUGAAAAAAACACCCAAUAGAAAGUUGGUAGUCACUGUCAAGAAUCUUCUAGAAGCUCUCUGCCAUGGCCUCUAGUCUUCAACUGUCGGAAACAGAAUCUUCAGUUUACAUGAUGGUGUUUAGAAGUGGUCGGUGGGAAGGUGAUUAGGAUCAGAUGAGGUCAACAGACUGGGAGCCCAUUGUGGGGCUGGUGGUUUCAUAAGAAAAGCCAGGGAUAAACAUGUCACUGUGUGAUGUCCUCCAGCACCUUGUGACACAGCAGGAAGGUCCCUCACCUUCUCACCAGUGCCGUGUCCUUCCGCUCUUCCGUUCCAGCCUCCGGAACUGCGAGCAAGCCAAAUAAACCUCUUUUCUUUAUAAACCACACCGUUUCAAGUCUAUCAUUCUAGCAACUAAAACCACACGAGGACAUCUAAUGACACCUAUGAUGGGGACUUAAACCCUCAUCUGCAAACAAGGAAACAGAGGCCCAAAGAGACAAAAUGCUUGCCGCUGUGCACACUGACUUAGUGUUGUGCCGUGGGGCUGGAAUCCAAUGCUUGACUCUGUGUUCAGCGCUCAUCACAGAACAAGCAAACCCUUUGGUCCAGCUUCUCCGCUCCCUGCCUUCUCCUCCUGCUUUUUAAAAGAACCAUGCAGUCAGAGGUGGCCUCUUCAUUUCUGGCUGCUUCUAGAACAGCAGACUUCUCUUAAAACCGAGAACCUGUGUUUCCUGCCCCUCCACCUGGUGCUCUCAAACCUCAAGCGCCAGGCGGCUGUGGACUUUGAAGAUUCUCUCCUUUCAUCUUUGGUCAAAAUAGCACCUGCCAUCCCAUUAGCCUCAGAAACUUCAGAGGCUCCAACGGAAGGGGCAAAUUUAUCACCUGGUGAACUGACCUACAUUCUGCCUAAUUCUUUCUGUCCUGACCGUGACCCCCAGGCAUCAGAGCCAAAAGGAAGAAAAAGUUGGCUAGACCUUAAUGUGGUGAGACUCUGUGGCCCUGGUUGGGCCCCAAAUUAAUAACUGUCAGGAAGAAAUUUACAGAUGAAAAAGUCUUAGCAUAGAAUUAAUUUUUACAAAGGACAUGCUUCCACUGAUCUUUCAAGAAAAAGGAAUUGUCAAAGUAACGAUGUAGUUUCUCAGGGCCAGAGCCGCUCACCUUGUUCAGUUGCUCUUCGGGAUAUGAUGGGCCAGGUUGUAUCUUAUUACUGAGGGUCUAGUUAGGAGUCAUAGUGCGUGCGUGCGUGUGUGUGUGUGUGUGUGUGUGUGUGUGUGUGUGUCAGUGUGCAUCUUUGUGUGUGUAGGUGUGUAUCUGUGUCUUUCUCUGUGUAUGUGCGUGUGUAUGCAUGUGUGUAUCUGUGUGUGUGUCAGUGUGCAUCUUUGUGUGUGUGUAGGUGUGUAUCUGUGUCUCUGUGUGUGUGUGUGUUGUGUUUGUAGGUAUGUAUCUGUGUGUCUCUGUAUGUAUCUGUGUGUCUGUGUAUGUGUGUGUGUGUCUGUGUUUAUCUGUGUGUCUGUGUAUGUGUGCAUCUUUGUGUGUGUGUUGGUGUGUAUCUUUGUGAGUGUGUGUGUGUAUCUGUAUGCAUAUCUGUGUGUAUCUUUGUGUGUCGGUGUGUAUCUGUGUGUAUGUAUACGUAUGUGUGUGUUGGUGUAUGUCUCUGUGUGUGUGUUUAUCUGUGUCUUUGUGUGUCUACGUAUGUACGUGUGGUUUGCAAAUGACAUAGGCUUUCUCUCCAAAUUUUAAAAUAUGUCACCUUACCACGUGUAACCUAAGUAACGAAAGGGUUUGUUGUUUUGAAAACAUGAACUUUAGAUGCUAUCUGGAGUUAUUGAAGGUGUCGAUAAAGUCGUCAAAUUCAUAUCACGUCUCUUAAUUAAAAAAAAAACAAUGCUUGGGUUGUAAAACCCCAUGAGAACACUUGCAAGAUACUUGUUUCAUCCUGGUCUUGUAGCUCAAUCCAGUCGGCAGCUGUUGAGUUUCAUCGCCCGGCGCAGCACCCAUGUGGACAUAGGUAGUGUGGCUUGUUGAAUAUACGAGGUUAUCUUUAUUAUUAGCUCUUGUAGCUUUAUCUGCCUUGAUAUGCAAAAGGAAGCUGGGUUAUUAUCUGUAUGUGUUUUGGUUUUUUCCUUAAAGUUAUUUUUAACUAACAUGACAUUAGCAUUUGCACAUUUCAGCAAAAAAAAAAAACAAGAAAAUGACGCUUGUUCUAGUUUCUCCGGUCUCUGUAGUAAAUGUGAAACAAUGUAUCCAAAGAAGCGUGUGGAGGGAAGCCAUCUGUAAGAGCAGUUGUGAGGGCUGUUUAUUUACACAGACUCUUCUCCAGCGCCUUGGAUAGCUCCGGGCCAGACAUGAGCUCAUCUUCUUGUCUUCCUCCAGCCUUCUCCCAUGGGUCCCCACCUCAGUAGUCAACACCAGCAUCCCACCCAGCUGUGAGAUCCUGUAUCUAGCCACCAACCCAUCCAUUGUUAUCUUCUAAGAACCUCUUGAGUCCAUCUGUGUCUCUUUAACUCUGCUUGUGUGGCCAGAGCCACGUGUUGACUUCUGUGGUCCCGAGGCACGUUCGUCUUCCUGGAUCUCUUCCAUCAUUAAAAUAAAACACUUCAAAUCAUGCUUUAUGGCAAGGAAGUGAGUGUCGACGCUGAAGGAAACUCAGCAAGGCUGGUCCAGUGCCUUCUCUGGAAAGGUGGCAGGAGCCUGAGGGAAUGUACUCAUGGGCUCUGAGCUGAGAUCAUCAGGGGUUCUGGGUACCUUGGUAUGUGGUGACGAAGCCUCUGAGGAGACCAUAUCACCAUCCAACUCCGGUGCAGCUGGCCCACUCACUUACACAUAACUUGGCUCCUACUGGGGAGUCACCAGACCACUUCCUUAUCCCGGGGAAGACUGUACACCUGACCACAGCCUUGGGCUCACAGGGAAAUGUCCCCACUUCUGAGUCUGCAAUCCACAGGCAUGCAGCAUGGCCUAUUUCCAACUUCGCUCCAUGCCGACACUCCUGGUCCCACCACCCCCUGCCAAUUG